ACAUACAAUAGCAAGGCUGCGACCGGGGCCGAAGGUACCGCCGCACGGUGGGCACUCCUCGCCGCUGCCCUACACCUCCCCGUCCCACUGCACCUCUAGGCUGCGCGGAGUCCUGUCCGCUAUCACCGGCUUUUCGCAGUCGCCGGUGCCCCCUCAGAGCCCGCGCUCUCCACAGUGUCCUCAGGGAAGGCUCCCCUUAGCGAGCGCACCCCGCCCCCUCAUAGUCCCGGCGCGCCUCCCGCUCCCCGCGGCCCGCAGCGGCCCGCCCUCCAGACCCCGGGCCUGAAGGAACCCGGCGCGAGCGGCGAGAGGAGAACGCGGGGCGCCCGCCGGCUCACACUCCCGCGCUCUCUCUCCGGGUUUGGCGGCCGCCAGGAGGAGGAAGAGGAGGAGGAGGAGAAGAAGAAGGAGGAGGAGUGGAGCGAGCGCAGAAGUAGCUGCUGCUGCUGGUGGUGACAAUGUCAAAUAACGGCGUAGACAUCCAGGACAAACCCCCAGCCCCUCCGAUGAGAAACACCAGCACUAUGAUUGGAGCCGGCAGCAAAGACACUGGAACCCUAAACCACGGCUCCAAACCUCUGCCUCCAAACCCAGAGGAGAAGAAAAAGAAGGACCGGUUUUAUCGAUCCAUCUUACCUGGAGAUAAAAGUACAGUACUUUGUUUAUUUUAAUCAUUUGUAUGCUUUAAGAAGAAAAAAACCAAAGCAAAUCAGCUUUUUCCCUAUGAAUAGUCUGAAUAGAAGAUCUUUCCUUCCAUGACUUAAUUCUCCUUCAGUACCUUUUAUUUUCUUGUUAACAUGUCUUCCUUCUUAGAGUGGCUAAAGCCAAAUGCAAAAUUGACUCAUUGCUCAGGAUUAUAUUUGAACAAAAAUUUAAGAAUAAAUUUGCUCUUGCCAGCUUUCAGAUAAAUU
rnacentral:lncRNA from 1 species